rnacentral:lncRNA from 1 species
UGGGUUGAGAUAAAGGCAGUUUAAUAGGUAAAGCAAAAGCCACGCACACAACCAAAGCAACAUAAGGAAUUCAUUCACCACUUCCCAUCUCCAGGACAGCAGGGCUCCAUCACACGUAAUGGUUACUUGGGAAGACAAACACCAUCACUCCAAAAGUUCCCCCCUUUCUUCUUCCCCCAGCUUUAUAUGCUGAGCAUGACCCCGUAUGAUCUGGAAUAUCUUUUGGGUCAGUUGGGGUCAGCUGUCCUGCCUAUGUCCACUCCCAGCUUCUUCUGCACCUCCAGCCUCCUCAUUGGUGCAUGGUAUGAGGAGCAGAACAACUCUUGACUCUGUGCAAGCACUGCUCAGCAGUAACAAAAACAUCCCUGUGUUACCAACAGUUUCCAGCACAAACCCAAGACACAGCCCCGUACCAGCUACUGUGAAGAAAAUUAACUCUAUCCCAGCCAAAACCAGACCACUCAAGUUAACACUGGAGUAAUUUAAGUAUUCAGAUGAACAUCACCACUGAGAUUAACCUGAGCUUGCUUUAACCCCUGGCCCUAUAGGGUCCCAUAGCCAGAAGAACCCUCUCACUUAUGCUGAAGUCUGUGCCUCCUCCCUCAGCAUUGCCCUGUUACAGCACAGUGCUCCUGAGGCUGUACAGGGCUGUGUACCUGUGUGCAGCAAAGGGAGAAUAGCAGAAAAGACUCUUGCCUAUCUGCAAAACCUCAGCCAAGCUCGUCUUCAUUACAGCAACAUAGUGCUGGUGCAUGUGAGAGCAGCCAUGCACCAAAGACAAGAGUUGAUUGCCUCUGCUUAUUCAAGAUGUUACUCUAAUAAUGCAUACAAUUCUCCUGCAGUCUACAGAGCACCUUCUAAGCUGUAUUUCGUAGGGGGAUUAAAGACAGCAGUAAUUCCUGGCAUUAUGGUUGUGCCUCAUAAUUCAACAAUACUCCUCCAGGGGCUGCAAUAACUCGUAUUGCCCCUGAGGCAGGUUAAAUAUUGCCCCCAUUUCUCAUCACAAGUCAGAGAUGGCACUUCCAGAAACUCUAGGAAAAUGUUCUUUUGGCACAGCGGGUUUAGGGAGGGAAACAGGCUUAUAUGGACAGGUGGCAAUUAAAAUUACCCAGUUUCAUACUCAUGCUCCUUAGUGCUGGUUGUGCAGGCUUCCCCUGAAAUAACAACCCUGGAAACACAAAGGUAUGGUUCAGGGAGAUUUUAGCACUUUGAACCCAACUAUAUUAUUAUUUUUAAAACUAGAUGUUUUCUAUUUGGACCCCAGUUACCAGCAUCAAACUGCACCCAACCUAGAAGAGAAUUAAGGGAAACAGACUGUGCAGGAUAUAGCUUACUCUGGUACGCUCUUUGUCUUCAUUGCCAUGGUCCCACAUUAAAAGCUUCUUGUUUUAUAGUAUUUACAUUAAAAAACAAAA